rnacentral:rRNA from 1 species
CCCUUAGAUGUUCUGGGCCGCACGCGCGCUACACUGACGAAUGCAACGAGCUUAUAACCUUGGCCGAAAGGUCUGGGUAAUCUCCAAAUUUCGUCGUGAUGGGGAUAGAUUAUUGCAAUUAUUAAUCUUCAACGAGGAAUGCCUAGUAAGCGCAAGUCAUCAGCUUGCGUUGAUUACGUCCCUGCCCUUUGUACACACCGCCCGUCGCUCCUACCGAUUGAAUGGUCCGGUGAAGCGCUCGGACCGCGGCCUCUUGACGGUUCGCUGUCGAUUGGCUGUGGGAAGUUCGUUAAAUCUUAUCAUUUAGAGGAAGGAGAAGUCGUAACA